rnacentral:lncRNA from 1 species
UUUCAGAGAAACAAGCCUUCAACAAAAGACAUCAUUGAUAAACAGCUUGCUUUAAAGGAGGAACUAAAGUUAGAUUUGUUGACAUUGGAUGACGAAAUAGAGGAUGAAGGUAAAUUAUAUCCGAAAUCCCCUUUUUCUAUCUAUCUUUAGUUUUCAUUUUUUAACCUUGGUGGCUUUUCGGUUCAUAAUGAAUCUUGCCAGAUGCUGGAUAUCAACAAUAAUAUAUCAGUGUCACUCAUUUUUGUACGUAAAACUUUAUAAAAAUCAAAAAAAAAAUCAUCACUGAAACUUUGAAUACCAGUACAAAUUGUUUGUUUCAUAAUAUUACAAUUAUGUACUCAACUUGCACACCCAAACUAGUUUUGCUGUGAUUGAUAAUGAGAUUGUAAUUUAAAAGGCUUUAGGCGAGACUUAAAAAAAAAUGUCUGACUUUUACUGUUCCUCUGUUAAUAAAGUUCCAAUUUCUUUUAGAUAUACCAGACACAUCAAGGACAUCGGACAGUGAAUGGUUCAGUAUUAGUUUAAGUGACACAGAAGAAACUCCAAGACCACAUUUAAGGCCAUUCUUUUCAUCAGUAGUGGAAGAUAUACACGUUUCAACGAUUACUAGUAAAACAAAAGAUUCUGCAAUAGAUAUAGAAGUUGACUUUCAAUCCAAACCUUGCAGUAGAUUCACGAGCUUUCGACAGUGGUUCUGUCAACUAUUUUGUUGUCAUAGCAAACCUGAUGAAGAUUUUGAACAUUGAUUAAUUAUUUUCGUUUUUUAUUUGUUUAUUUAUUUAAUAAAUCUUUUAU